rnacentral:lncRNA from 1 species
UUUGUAGUAGUGUUCACUAAGUUGCAUGUGCAAGUGAGUGGAACAAAGAGGGCUUGGUUAGGGGAAAGAGGUGAAGUUAGAGAUGUUAAGUUGCUUGGUUUCGCGAUCAUGGGACGGGUUAUGGAGAAUAGAUCGCUUAUCGAAGCUAAGUCGAGUUGGUCCGGACCCUUGGCUCGAAAGAAGGCGUAGGUUUGGCAAGAGGGUGUGGUUUGGUUAGGAUUGCAAGCAUAGCCAGUGGUGUUUGGAGGAUGCAAUGAAUUGAAGUCACAUGGGUCCAUUCAAACUUAGUUGGUGCAAGAGAGGAAAUUCUUGGUCAAACAUGAUGCUAAAGUCCACCAACAGUAAAUAUGUGUGACAAAAGUACCUAUUUUCAACAGCGGAGUUUGCAUGCAAGGUAACUCUGAUUUUCUACAUGGUGCGGAAUAAUUUAAGUGUAUGAUCCAAAAGUGACAAAAUACAUAUUAUAUAUAUUGUAUUAGCAACUUAAGAAACUUUCCAUUUCCGCUUUCUAACAAUGAUUCUGAAGCCAAGCAGGACUGCCUUAUAGUUAGUCCGAUCAGAGAAACACUCUCAAGUGUUGAGAUCCUUUAUUACGGCCAAUGUUUCAGCCCUACAAAUCUCAGUUUGAGAGAGAUUAGUGAAGAGGUGACCUUUUUUUAUGUAAUUUUACAAUACCAAUGCAUCAAAUUAUACGAUUUUAGAGUUGCAUGCAUGCAUGAGUGUAUUUUUAUUUUGUUGAUUUUAUUAUAUAAUUGAAACCCCUCCACUUGAUGUAUCACAUUUUAGCUUUCUAAAAAAGCUUUUGUAGCCAAGCAGGACCAACACAUCAGCCCGAUCAAGAAAGAACAAAAGACUAACACUAACAGGAACAAAGUGGGCCAACGAGGGAAGUUGGGGUUGCAACUGCCCUUUAGCAUAUCUAUAUAAUACGCGAAUAGUGUCUUAAAAAAAUAUUUUUUCUCAACAGAACUUGCGGAGCACUUCAACUUAUAGAAAUGAAGUAAUUUUCGAAGUUGACGAUUACGAAAGCCAAGGUAAGAUAAACUAAACAGUAGAGAUGGAGACGUACAUGUUUCAUUGUUGUAAUAUAGUUAUGCUUUUUUUUCAUCUCAUCCGAGUGACAUGGAACAAAAGUAGCAAAGGAUAAGUGGAAAUGGAUACAUUUACAUGGAGCAAAAGUAGAUCCGAAUGAAACCACAAACUAACUUGCCAUGGUAAUUUAUUUUAUUAAAUAUUCUACUAACCUACUUCAUUAAAUGUAAUCAACAAUGAAUUUUGUUUUCUCGUGGGAUGUGUAUUUUUAUGUUUAUUCUAUUUUUUAGAAAGAUAGUCUCAUAGUUGAAAAUUAGUUUUUUAUGGACCAGUCGGGGUUAACAUCAACAUAUAAACUUGACUAGGUAAAUGACCCUAUUACUUACUACUUAAUUUAUAUUAUUAAGUAGUAAUCAAAUCUUUUACUUUUUUUUGGUUUCCAUGUAAGAUAAACAGGUUAAACCCAAUGCACGAUGAGCAACAGGUAAAGUUUAUCUUUCAUAUAUAUAAAGACACACUGUGACAGGGCUGAGAUAUCGACAAUAUCGAUAAUUUUGCAUAAUUUUUUAAUCAUUCCAUUUUUUGUCUUUCAUGCAAGAUGAUCGAGAUUCUAAACACUAAGAAUGCUGACAUGAUGGGUUGGCAUUGCUCAACGGCCUAGGUUUUGGUAAGAUUAGAAAACCAAUCAUUUGAGUAAAUUCAGGAGCACAUUUAUCCUUUUUACAACUCAUCCUAUAUUUGCCAUGUAUUUAAAUACCCUGGCAUAAAGGCUUUUGAGAAUGCUUCACUAAGGGUGAACUUAUCUUGGCACGGUGGGAUAUAUUAUCACAUAAGAACAUUUAAACCAUGCCACAUGUUGCCCCCUUGCUACCAUAUAUUAGUGUUGAUACUUUGACAAAUGGGCACCAUGCAUCAAGUCAACAAGUCAAAAAAAGGCCAUCUUUGAGGUUAAAGAGGACGAUCCAAAAGCCGAAAAAAUUGAGGGAGUAAACCAUGUUUGACUAUUACAAAACUUUCCCACAUUGUUGCCUACCGUUUACUUUUGCAUUAAAAUAACAUCAUUUCAUGUUUUGUCACUCUAUCACUUUUAUUUUAUAUUGUUGUGUGGUUGUACACUAUUCACGUUCGUUUUCCUUUUAUAAAUUAAAAAUGGUGCUUUUGU